AAAUCUGAAGCAACAAGUCAAGGGAAGGCCAUUGAGAAGGAAAGACAAUGUAAUAUAUGGGAGUGAGUCUGGAUUUUAGCGUUGCUCUUAAAUUGUAGCUUUGCUGUUUAGCAGCUGGGUGGGUAUGGACGCAUUGCUUAACCUAACAGAGCUUCGGUUUUCCUGUUAGAAAAAUGCGGCUAGUGAAACUUAACUCCCAAGGUAGUAAGAAGUAAAGAAGUUAACAAUGGUACUAAGCCUAACAAGUAGGAGGCACUGCAACUAAGGUCUAUUCCAUUUUCCCUUCUUGUUAAUUCUCUUUCUUUCAUAAAUGCAGCAUAAAGCGGAGGCAUCAUGGUGGGAAGAUACUUCUCCUGGAUGCUAUGGAAAAUUAAUGAGGCGAAAUGGUAAACUCAUUAAGUCAGAACUAUCCCCAGGGAAAUGGUGGCCCUUGAGAAAUCACAUGGUGUGCACUUUUUCCUCUACUCCGGCAUCUUCGUGCAACUGAAAGGAUGUUCAGCUGAACAGUGAUGACUCUGGAAAAGGAAGAGAAAUCACAGAUGGGCCAAAUGAAGCUGAGGAGGUCUGGAAGGGAGGAAAAGGCAAUACAGACAGAGGCUACUGCCUGAGGGAAGAGCACCGUGUGAAAGGCUUGUUUGGGGAAUGCUGCCCAAUGAGGGCUCUGCUGGUUGUGAAGCAGAUGGCAGGGGUGGCUGGAGUUCCUGUCAACCCAACUCCAGAAACAGACAGCGGUCUAUGGGCUGCCAGUUGAAGGUUAUGAGGACACAAUCCAUGCGUGCUGUUUUUAACUUCAUUUUUAGUGAAUACAAAAUUAAUUCAGGCCAUGAUUUAAAUGUACUCUUGCAAAUCCUGAAAGAGUUGUGCCAUAACCCUGCAGGUUUUGCAAGCACCAGGAAGCAAACAGAAAAUAAGCAAGAGCUCUUCUUUUCCUGGUGGGGCACCAGCAUAAAACAUCGAGUUUUGAGAGUGAUGAUAAGUGGGCACGCACAAAUGUGGCGAAUGCAGCAGAGCCUGCCUUGUAGGGAGGCAAUGCCCUGCAGAAAGGCUGCUCUUCCCACCUGGCAAGAAGGCAGAACUGCUUCUGCAGAGUUCUCUGUCUUUGGACAUCAUCCUAGAAGCCCCCUGUGGCUCCAGUCAUCUUCCUCUCCGAAGCAGCUGAAGGACCAAGAGGAUAGAAGUAGAAUUCCUAUUCAGCCAAAGGAAGACUGGCCAGAAGGGAAGAAAUCACAUCUGGUUUUAUUCAUUAAACAACUUUUUAAGGACCCACUAUGUACCAGGCAUCAGAAAUUAAUUCCAAGUUGCACCGUGUGAGAUUGACAGUACCCAUAUGCAUUCCGCUUUGACACCAUUGGCUCAGAAAGUUAAGCUGGCUGUAGAGACAGAUGAUAAAGAAACUUGGCAGGGGCUGGCGGCAGAGCUACAGAGAAGGAAUAAAAGCAAAGAGAAGAAGAAGGAGAAGAAAACG
rnacentral:lncRNA from 1 species